rnacentral:lncRNA from 1 species
CUCAUUCCUUUAUCCAUUAGGAUAAUACCCAAAACUUGGAAACUUCAAUCACAUAAAACUGAACUUAACUUCGUGAGAUCUGUUAGUAUAAGCAACUUAUCAAAUACUUUUAGGUACUGUUAUAAGUUGAUUCUUAUUUUAUUUUAGCAUAAGGUAUUGCAUUCCAACUUCUUCAUGGCUUAUACUCUCCGAUACAAUCCAUAGCGUCAUCAAAUCAAGCAAGUUAUGUAAGAAAAAAAUCUAACUCAAACACAACAGUUUGUAGUAAUCUAUAAUGAACCUAUACUUAU